rnacentral:rRNA from 1 species
CAGUAGCCGCGGUAAUACGUAGGGUGCAAGCGUUAAUCGGAAUUACUGGGCGUAAAGCGUGCGCAGGCGGUUAUAUAAGACAGAUGUGAAAUCCCCGGGCUCAACCUGGGAACUGCAUUUGUGACUGUAUAGCUAGAGUACGGCAGAGGGGGAUGGAAUUCCGCGUGUAGCAGUGAAAUGCGUAGAUAUGCGGAGGAACACCGAUGGCGAAGGCAAUCCCCUGGGCCUGUACUGACGCUCAUGCACGAAAGCGUGGGGAGCAAACAGGAUUAGAUACCCCCGUAGUCCCUGUUUCUUAUAC